rnacentral:ncRNA from 1 species
GUAGAGUAGGAAUGGCGCGUCAAGUACCGGCGGAUGGGAGGUUGCCGCCGGGCGAAGGAGCGGUCGCUCCGCGAUGCCAUUAUCGCAUCCGCU